AAUGAACGCUGGCGGCAUGCCUUACACAUGCAAGUCGAACGGCAGCAUGACCUAGCUUGCUAGGUUGAUGGCGAGUGGCGAACGGGUGAGUAAUGCAUCGGAACGUGCCUUUUAGUGGGGGAUAACGAAGCGAAAGUUACGCUAAUACCGCAUAUUCUCUGAGGAGGAAAGCAGGGGACCUUCGGGCCUUGCGCUAGAAGAGCGGCCGAUGUCGGAUUAGCUAGUUGGUGAGGUAAAGGCUCACCAAGGCAACGAUCCGUAGCGGGUCUGAGAGGAUGAUCCGCCACACUGGGACUGAGACACGGCCCAGACUCCUACGGGAGGCAGCAGUGGGGAAUUUUGGACAAUGGGCGCAAGCCUGAUCCAGCCACGCCGCGUGAGUGAAGAAGGCCUUCGGGUUGUAAAGCUCUUUCGGCUGGGAAGAAAUCGCACCCUCUAAUACAGGGUGUGGAUGACGGUACCAGCAUAAGAAGCACCGGCUAACUACGUG
rnacentral:rRNA from 1 species